GCCGUGAAAAGAAAAAAAGCUCUUUCGGAAGAAGAGGUAUUCUUGCUUUUUUAUUUUUUAUUUAUUCGAAAUAUCUCUUUAGAACAUUUUCUUUAUCUAAAUGGGAUUGCUUAUAAAAGUAGUAUAUAUUAAAGUUGAAAAUAUUAAUAGAGUAAAAAAAAAAAAAGAGAGAUAAAGAAAAGAAAGGCUUUUUUUUUUUUUCAAGCCUUACUUUUUGUGUAAUGUAAGAUAGUAAUUAUCCUUUUUCAAUUGGGAGAGAUGGCUGAGUGGACUAAAG
rnacentral:lncRNA from 1 species